UACGGAGGGUGCAAGCGUUAUCCGGAUUCACUGGGUUUAAAGGGUGCGUAGGUGGGCAGGUAAGUCCGUGGUGAAAUCUCCAAGCUUAACUUGGAAACUGCCGUGGAUACUAUCUGUCUUGAAUACCGUGGAGGUGAGCGGAAUAUGUCAUGUAGCGGUGAAAUGCUUAGAUAUGACAUAGAACACCAAUUGCGAAGGCAGCUCACUACACGCUUAUUGACACUGAGGCACGAAAGCGUGGGGAUCAAACAGGA
rnacentral:rRNA from 1 species